rnacentral:rRNA from 1 species
GAGACAGCAGUAGCCACGGGAAUACGGAGGGAGCUAGCGUUGUUCGGAAUUACUGGGCGUAAAGCGCACGUAGGCGGCUUUGUAAGUUAGAGGUGAAAGCCUGGAGCUCAACUCCAGAAUUGCCUCUAAGACUGCAUCGCUUGAAUCCAGGAGAGGUGAGUGGAAUUCCGAGUGUAGAGGUGAAAUUCGUAGAUAUUCGGAAGAACACCAGUGGCGAAGGCGGCUCACUGGACUGGUAUUGACGCUGAGGUGCGAAAGCGUGGGGAGCAAACAGGAUUAGAUACCCCUGUAGUCCCUGUCUCUUAUAC